GCCUCCGAAAGUGCUGGGAUUACAGGCUGAGCCACUGCGCAUGUGUAUCACAGAGCCGUGUAUCAGUAUUUUUAAGUUAGUCCGUCAAAAACAACCUUGAUUUGCACGAGACACAUGUUAAAGAGAUUUUGUGAUUGUCCUUUCUCCCUUGCUUUCCUCGUCUGGCUCCUGGCUGCCCCUUGGGCCGGCGCCUCUCGCUCGCUCUAUUCCUUCUCCCCGCGGCUGCCUCGUGCCGGCCGCACCUUCUCGCCGCGGACCGGAGCCGGGGCAGGAGCCGGGGCAGGAACCCGGGCAGAAGCCGGGGCAGGAACCAGGACAGGAAGCGGGGCAGGAACCAGGACAGGAAGCAGGGCAGGAGCCCCGCAGGAGCCAGGUGUCUGAGCCCCGCCCCGCCGCGGGGGAGAGGCCUCCGGGAGCCGGGGCCGCCCAGAGCCGCAGCCGCCGCGCAGGCAGGGCCGGGCCGGGCCGGGUGCGCGGGCACAAAGGGGCCGCUGCACAUGGCAGGCAGGCGAGCAGAUGCCAGCAGACAGCUUUUGUCGUCCAGUCUCCCAGUCAUCCGCCUGACCUGCUCCUGUCUGAACAUCCUACCGCGAGUCAAGGCAAAUGGGCUCAGCCGCUGUUCCACUCCACCCAGGCUUGGAGUGGACUCCCCGUGAGCCUGCAGAGGGGCAGGAUGCUGAGUAGCAGGCCAUGCGGGUGCGCCCGGGGUCUCACCCCAGCCCCAGGGAAGAGGCUGUUUCAUUCAGUGAACCAAGAGGGUACAAAGGUUCACCUUUCUCUGCAUCCUCACCAGCAUCUGUUAUUCCCUGCCCUUUUGAUAAAAGCCAUUUUAACGGAGGUCUGCCACAAAUGUAUGCAGAGGCCCAGGAGGAGCCAAGACUGAAAACCGGAGGGCCUAAGUCAGCGUUUCUCAGGAUGUGAUGUGCAGAGACCUCAAUCUGAAUUAUCCUGCAGACCACCUUGGUCCCACCCAGCCCACUGAAUCCAAACCUUUGGGGGUGGGCCCUAGAAUCUGCUCUUCCAACAGGACAAACACCCCCUUUCCACUGCACUGUAAAGUCUGGGGCUCACCAGCCACAGACCUGACUAUAGCUCAAAUGCUGUGUGUCUUUAUCUCCUGUGCACUAGGGAAAGAACCAGGAGAGGACAGCAUAGGGGGAAGCCCAGGUCAUCCUGUGACCUCCCCACCUCUGCCGGAGUGACCCCUUCCUCUGGUUCAAAAUCUCCAACAACAGGGUGCAGACAUGACCUAGACCACCGUGUGUGGUGAGAUUACUUGAGGACCUGAGGUAGAACGCUUUCAGGAUGGAAACGUCUCAAGACUUGGAGUCAGACCCAUUUAGGUUCAACGAGUGGUUCUGCCACUCAGUAGCACUGAGCACACGUAGAGUCCAGAUCUUGGUUUCCAAUCAAAGGAAUCAGGGCUCCUUGGAAAGAUGGCUGAUUCUAAGGCUGGGGCAGGAAACAUGCAAGAUGAGCCUGGAGCUUCUCGUAGUGACAGGAAGUAAGGAAGCACUCAAGUGUCCCCCCCACCCCCACACACCCCCACCAUUGGUGGAGCUAUGUCAGAGGGGCGCAGAGACAACUGCAAGGCUUCUAAUGGCCAAUGCUGGAACAAUGACAGCAAGGAAUAAAUAAAGUGAUAUUUAAUUAUAACCCAAAGCAUACUACAGCUGUUCAUGAUCCCAUACUGACAUAAAUAAAUUGUUGAAUAAAUUAAUAAAUGGAGAAGAAACAAACCUUCCAGGCAGAAGAAUUCCAAAUAAUGUAUGUAGAUGCUGCACACUGAGAGAGAUAAAGCAUAGCUCCCCACUCCUAAGUGUGGGCUACACAUAGUCACUUUCUGCUCAAGAGUACAGGAUGGAAAAAAGGAAAAAAAGAGUAACAUUCCAAUCACCUGCACCAUUCAGGUGAUCGAGGUCCUCAUCAACAGUCAUAAAUGGGCCAGGCACAGUGGCUCAUGCCUGUCAUCCCAGCACUUUGGGAGGCCGAGGCAAGCAGCCCACUUGAGGCCAGGAGUUCGAGACUAGCCUGGCCAACAUAGUGAAACCCCGUCUCUACUAAAAAUUAAAAAAUUAGCCCCGAGUGGUGGCACACACCUAUAAUUAAAGCUACUUGGGAGACUGAGGCAGGUUCAAGACUCGCUUGAACCUGGGAGGCAGAGAUUUCAAUGAGCCAAGUUCGUGCCACUGCACUCCAACCUGGGUGACAGAGUGGAGACUCCAUCUCAAAAAAAGAAAAAAAAAACAUAAUUCAUGUUGCUAGAGUGUCCCCUUGAUAUGGCACUUUCAUUCUGUGACCUUCCUCCCCAAAAUCUAUAACCCGUGUCCAGUCAUGUAAAAAUCAUCAAACAAAUUCCAGGAGAGGAGCAUCCUACAAUACACCUCCCUAGCACUCCUCAAAACUGUCAAGGUCAUCAGAAAAAAGGAAAGUCUGUCACGGGGUGUCCAAUCUUUUGGCUUCCCUGGGCCACACUGGAAGAAGAUGAAUUGUCUUGGGCCACACAUAAAAUAUGCUAACACUCAGGAUAGCUGGUGAGCUAAAAAAUAAAAAAGGUCCGUGCAUCAAUCUCAUAAUGUUUUAAGAGAGUUUACGAAUUUGUGUUGGGCCACAUUCCAAGCUGUCUUGGGCCACAUGUGGCCCAUGGGCAGAGGAUUGGACAGGCUUGGUCCGUCACAAUCAAUAGGAACCCAAAGAGACAGAACAACUAAAUGUCCUGUGGUAUCCUGGAUGGGGUCCUGGAACAGAAAAGAGAUACUAGGUUUAAAAAAAAAACUAAGAGAAUCAGAAUAAACGAUGGACUUUGGUUGCUAAUAAUAUAUCAAUAUUGGCUUAUUAAUUGUAACAAAUGUACCAUACAAUGUAAGGUGUUUAUAACAGGGAAGCAAGAUGGUGGGGCUGGGCUGGGAACUCUAUCUGCUCGAUUCUUCUGAAAUAAAGAACUGCUCUGAAAAAUAUCAUAA
rnacentral:lncRNA from 10 species